rnacentral:rRNA from 1 species
UACGUAGGGGGCAAGCGUUGUCCGGAUUUAUUGGGCGUAAAAAGCGUGUAGGCGGCCAUACAGGUCCGUUGUGAAAACUGGAGGCUUAACCUCCAGACGUCGAUGGAAACCGUAUGGCUAGAGUCCGGAAGAGGAGAGUGGAAUUCCUGGUGUAGCGGUGAAAUGCGCAGAUAUCAGGAAGAACACCCGUGGCGAAGGCGGCUCUCUGGGACGGUACUGACGCUGAGACGCGAAAGCGUGGGGAGCGAACAGG